GUGUGACUUCGGCCAUCGCUCUGGUAGUCCCGGUAGCUGACGAACUCCUGCCAAGGGCAGCGGUAGCCCUUGGAGAUGGCGGUGUGGUUGAACUUCUCUGGCGGGACGCCCUUCAGCGGCUCCGCAUAGCCUAGGGGCGCGGGGGGAAGGGAGCGCCUCCGUUCUUCCACCCUCAGCCCCCAACCCCACCUCGCCCCACCCCCAUUCCGCGGACGCGGUUGGAGGAGGGAAGAUCGGAGUUAGGGGAGAGGACGGCGGGAAUGGGAAGCCACAGUUGCUCCAGCACAGGAGACCCCUCCCCAUCCCAGGAAACACGGAGGACUGCAGUGAGGAAGCCACGAGUUCGCAGCGCGGACGAGUUUCACUCUUGUUGCCCAGGCUGGAGUGCAAUGGCAUGAUCUCGGCUCACUGCAACCUCUGCCUCCCGGGUUCAAGCGAUUCUCCUGCCUCAGCCUCCCGAGUAGCUGGAAUUGCAGGCAUGCACCAUCACGCCUGGCUAAUUUUGUAUUUAUAGUAGAGAUGGGGUUUCUCCAUGUUGGUCAGGCUGGUCUCGAGCUCCCAACCUCAGGUCAUCCGCUUGCCUCAGUCUCCCAAAGUGCUGGGAUUACAGGCGUGAGCCACCUCCCCCAGCUGAGCUCAAUAUUUAAAAAAAAAAAAUGGCAGGCACAGUGGCUCACAACUAUAAUCCCAGCACUUGCAGAGGGCAAAGUGGGUGGAUUGCUUGGGCCCAGGAGUUCAAGACCAGCCUGGGCAAUAUAGCAAGACCCUGUCUCUAUUAAAAAAUAAAAAAAGAUAAAAUCUAUUUGACUGAGUAUUUCUAUUUCUAGGAAUUUAUUCUCGGGGAAAAAGUUGAAUAAAUAUGUCCAAAGAUA
rnacentral:lncRNA from 1 species